rnacentral:rRNA from 1 species
GACAGAGGGUGCAAACGUUGUUCGGAAUUACUGGGCGUAAAGCGUGUGUAGGCGGCUUUGUAAGUCGGAUGUGAAAGCCCCGGGCUUAACCCGGGAAGUGCACUCGAUACUGCGAAGCUUGAGUACUGGAGAGGUUGGUGGAAUUCUCGGUGUAGAGGUGAAAUUCGUAGAUAUCGAGAGGAACACCGGUGGCGAAGGCGGCCAACUGGACAGAUACUGACGCUGAGACACGAAAGCGUGGGGAGCAAACAGG